UCGAUCACCUUACAUGAGACACACCUGUUCCCAAGUCCUGUCCUGUCUUGUCCAUGGAUGGUUUUUGUCGUUGUUUCUACUGAAACAAUGGACAAUAUGGCUGGAGAAUGCAGAGAAGUCAUUGAAUCUGAUUCACCACAAAUGGAAACAAUGGACCAUACAGCUGGAGAAUGCAGUGCAGUUAUGGAAUCUGAUCCACUUUUAAUUAAUUACAGUUGCCACCUGUGUUUACAUGACACUUAGUUUGCAGUCAUAAUGAAAUAUAAUUUGUCAUUA